GUAGGUGGCAAGCGUUGUCCGGAAUUAUUGGGCGUAAAGCGCGCGCAGGCGGUCCUUUAAGUCUGAUGUGAAAGCCCACGGCUCAACCGUGGAGGGUCAUUGGAAACUGGGGGACUUGAGUACAGAAGAGGAAAGCGGAAUUCCAAGUGUAGCGGUGAAAUGCGUAGAGAUUUGGAGGAACACCAGUGGCGAAGGCGGCUUUCUGGUCUGUAACUGACGCUGAGGCGCGAAAGCGUGGGGAGCAAACAGGAUUAGAUACCCUGGUAGUCCACGCCGUAAACGAUGAGUGCUAAGUGUUAGGGGGUUUCCCGCCCCCUUAGUGCUGCGGCUAACGCAUUAAGCACUCCGCCUGGGGGAGUACGGCCGCAAGGCUG
rnacentral:rRNA from 1 species